rnacentral:tRNA from 1 species
UAAACUACAAUUUAAUCUGUUAGAAUAGUAUAUUUAUAACGUAUCAAUAUAGAUUCGACUCCUAUUGGUUUCA